rnacentral:lncRNA from 1 species
AGGUAUUAUACUGUAAAAUUUUGAGCCCCAAAAUGUAAUUAUUGAAACUAUAUUUUCAUAUAAAUAGAAGCUCAUUCUUCCUUUAUUUCUCACCAAUUCACUAAGACUCACAAGAGCAAUUAUAGAGAGAGAAGCUAUAGGGAGAAAAAAAGAAGAGUAGUCUGCUACUUCACUACUCCAAUUUCCAGUCUUCUUCUGAGGUAAGGGGUAUUAUUUAUUUCAUAUUCUGAAG